rnacentral:lncRNA from 1 species
AGCCGGCUCUACAGGUAACAGGCGUUUCUUCUCGCGCAGUUUGAACAAAAACAAUCCAGAAGGAACAGAUUUGGUUUUUUAAAAAAAAUGAACAAAAGCCAAAAAAGCCACAAACACAACCUAAACCUUCUAAGAAGCUCGACUACUCCCGUUCUGCACGUUCCUUCCCAGAAGGAUGCAGACCCCCGGUGUCGGCGGGAACCAGGAAGCUCUUGGGGCCUCCCUGGGCCAGACCUGCACCCGGGAAGCCGCCGCAAGGCUUCAGGAGCCCCAGGUCGCCCCAAGGCCGCGCCGCAGGAUUGAACAAAGCGGCGGGUGCAGCAACCUCGGCGCUUCCGAGCGCGUUCGGGGCCGGACGCCCGGCGUCCGGCGCUGGCUCCAGAAAGGCGGCGGGUGUGGGGCGCAGAGGCCUAUCUCGCGCCCUAGCCGCGGCCCGCGCCCCGCCGCAGUCCCCGGGGACGGUACUCACACACGCAGAGCUCCACCACGUACGCGUAGUAGGACCAGACGACCACGAAGGUGAUGAAGAGCACCGGCACCCAGCCCACGACGCGCUGGCAGCAGCGCCACAGCGUCCAGGGCGCCAUGUUCCGCUGGCGGCUGCCGAGCCCCGCGUCCCACCGUUCUGGGGAGCGCGGGAGCCCCGGCGACGGUGACUCGGACGCUCCAGGCGGCUGCUGGUCCAGCUCCCCCGCCUCCGAGGCAGGACUUGUGGGAGCAAAAGUCCGAGGCGCCGCCGGGACUCCUCCCGUCCCGGCGCCCAGCCAGGCCCCGCCCCCACCCCACAUCCCGUCGCCCCCCUCCCCCCGCGUCCGUCCCCGCCAGCCCGCCCGCCGCGGGCCGCGGGCCGCCCCCGGUCUCCGCGUCGUUGGGGCGGGGUUUCCGCGGCCGGGGAGGCGGUGAGGGGGCGGGGCCGCAGCUCGGGACCGCCCAUGGGGCGUGGCGGGGCUGGAUGCGGACAGGCUGGGCGGACGCGGGAGGCCGGGGAAGGAGAGGCGAAAAACACGCCCUUGAUGGAUGAGAGGGACAGGGGAUAGCUUUUGUGGAUCGAGACUCAAUAGGGGAGGGAGACUAUGGAAAUGAUUCCUUAGCUGAUUUGUGGAUCUUGGCCCUCUCUGUGUACAGAACUCGCUCCACUGGGGUUCCUGGGACAUUGAGUAGUUGGGGCACUGUUUCAAACAUGACAAGGCCAUUCCCCACUCAGUGUGCGAAGAAUGCACAUUGUUAGAAGGCUCCUCCUGUGAUUUUUAUGUUCGUCCAUCUUGGCGGAACCCCUCCCUUUCUUGAAGAUGGAACGGUAGAUACCUGUAAUUUCGGGUAGAAGCCAUGUAGGGUCCAUCAGUUUGAUUCGUAACCCAAAUUUAAGAUUGAGUAGCGAGAAGGAAAGGGCAUGUAAAUGACCCUCUCCUUGCCCCGCAAACGACUAAGGAAAUUUAAAGAAUUUAUUUACAACUAGAGGUUGCUAAGCAAUGACGAUAAUCAUAUAGAACCCAGAAGCAUCACUGUGAAGACUUCACAAUGCAAGGUCAGACGCAUUAGAAGGGAUUCCAGACCGCAAUCUUCAUACCAGUUCCUGCUACUAGCAUUCAGUUUUGGUUAGAAUGAAUUUUUGUGUUUGUUUUUUGAAACAGGGUCUUCUCGCUCUGUCGCCCAAGCUGGAGUGCAGUGGCACGACCUGGGCUCAUUUAAGCCUCGACCUCCCUGCUAAAGCACUCCUCCUGCUUCAGCCUGCAGAGUAGCAGGGACUACAGGCCCGCCACCAUGCCCAGCUGAUGUUUGUAUUUUCUGUAAAAACUAGGUUUCGCCCUGUUGCCAUGCUGGCCCUGAACUCCAAGGCUCAAGGAAUCCCAACCCCUCUCCGCCUCCACCUCCCAAAGAAGUGCUGAGAUUACAGGUGUGAGCCACCACGACCGGCCUACACUGAGCUUUAAAUUAGCUACUGCUCACUAAAGUCUCCAUGAAGAAGACGUCACCCUUUGCUGUGUCAGAGAAAUGUAGUAAAAGCGAGUAAGUAUUUAAUCACUGCACA